rnacentral:rRNA from 1 species
UGGGCGUAAGCGCGCGCAGGCGGUUUCUUAAGUCUGAUGUGAAAGCCCACGGCUCAACCGUGGAGGGUCAUUGGAAACUGGGGAACUUGAGUGCCGAAGAGAAAAGCGGAAUUCCACGUGUAGCGGUGAAAUGCGUAGAGAUGUGGAGGAACACCAGUGGCGAAGGCGGCUUUUUGGUCUGUAACUGACGCUGAGGCGCGAAAGCGUGGGGAGCAAACAGGAUUAGAUACCCUGGUAGUCCUCCCCGCCCACGAUGAGUGCUAAGUGUUAUAGG